rnacentral:rRNA from 1 species
GAUGAACGCUGGCGGCGUGCCUAAUACAUGCAAGUCGAGCGAACAGACGAGGAGCUUGCUCCUCUGACGUUAGCGGCGGACGGGUGAGUAACACGUGGAUAACCUACCUAUAAGACUGGGAUAACUUCGGGAAACCGGAGCUAAUACCGGAUAAUAUAUUGAACCGCAUGGUUCAAUAGAGAAAGACGGUUUUGCUGUCACUUAUAGAUGGAUCCGCGCCGCAUUAGCUAGUUGGUAAGGUAACGGCUUACCAAGGCAACGAUGCGUAGCCGACCUGAGAGGGUGAUCGGCCACACUAGAACUGAGACACGGUCCAGACUCCUACGGGAGGCAGCAGUAGGGAAUCUUCCGCAAUGGGCGAAAGCCUGACGGAGCAACGCCGCGUGAGUGAUGAAGGUCUUCGGAUCGUAAAACUCUGUUAUUAGGGAAGAACAAAUGUGUAAGUAACUAUGCACGUCUUGACGGUACCUAAUCAGAAAGCCACGGCUAACUACGUG